rnacentral:rRNA from 1 species
UUUAUGGAGAGUUUGAUCCUGGCUCAGGAUGAACGCUGGCGGCGUGCCUAAUACAUGCAAGUCGAGCGAACAGAUAAGGAGCUUGCUCCUUUGACGUUAGCGGCGGACGGGUGAGUAACACGUGGGUAACCUACCUAUAAGACUGGAAUAACUCCGGGAAACCGGGGCUAAUGCCGGAUAACAUGUUGAACCGCAUGGUUCUACAGUGAAAGACGGUCUUGCUGUCACUUAUAGAUGGACCCGCGCCGUAUUAGCUAGUUGGUGGGGUAACGGCCUACCAAG